CAGCUGGAUGAUAGUCGGGCUGAAGACUCUACUUGACUAGCUGAGAGGAGGUGCAUGGCCGUCGUCAGUUCGUACUGUGAAGCAUCCUGUUAAGUCAGGCAACGAGCGAGACCCACGCCAACAGUUGCCAGCUCGUCCUCCGGGAUGGUGGGGACACUGUUGGGACCGCCUCUGCUAAAGAGGAGGAAGGAAUGGGCAACGGUAGGUCAGCAUGCCCCGAAUUAUCUGGGCUACACGCGGGCUACAAUGGUCAGGACAAUGGGUAUCUACCCCGAAAGGGGACGGGAAUCUCCUAAAACCAAUCUUAGUUCGGAUUGAGGGCUGCAACUCGCCCUCAUGAAGCUGGAAUCCGUAGUAAUCGUGUCUCAAAAUGGCACGGUGAAUAUGUCCCUGCUCCUU
rnacentral:rRNA from 1 species